rnacentral:rRNA from 1 species
GAAUAUUGGACAAUGGGGGGAACCCUGAUCCAGCCAUGCCGCGUGUGUGAAGAAGGCCUUUUGGUUGUAAAGCACUCUAAGCGAGGAGGAGGAGCUCUUGGUUAAUACCCAAGAUGCUUGGACGUUACUCGCAGAAUAAGCACCGGCUAACUCUUUGCCAGCAGCCGCGGUAAUACCGAGGGUGCAAGCGUUAAUCGGAUUUACUGGGCGUAAAGCGCGCGUAGGUGGCCAAUUAAGUCAAAUGUGAAAUCCCCGAGCUUAACUUGGGAAUUGCAUUCGAUACUGGUUGGCUAGAGUAUGGGAGAGGAUGGUAGAAUUCCAGGUGUAGCGGUGAAAUGCGUAGAGAUUUGGAGGAACACCAGUGGCGAAGGCGGCUUUCUGGUCUGUAACUGACGCUGAGGCGCGAAAGCGUGGGGAGCAAACA